UGAGUUUUCUUUGGUACCGGAACAAGACAGGAGGUCUUCCACACAACCGGAACCUUCUUCUGGGCCAGGCUAAGAUUGAAGAGGUACUUUAAAAAUAAUUUUAAAGUAUUUUCGUUUGAAAAUCAGUUGCAAGGACGGUUGAAAAGUUCGAGUUCGUUGGUCCAACGCCGUUAAAGAGAGAUUCCACAUCGCUUCAUUAUUCUGUCACCUCUGCCCACAGCAAACAAGCAACUUUACUGUAAGUACCAAUAUUUAAUUGUUUUUUGUUUUACGUUCGUGAAACGAAGUUUGGAUUUUUAUUCUUCUUGUGACCAUGAGAUACCUUGUAUUUCACUUCAGUUUAAUCACAUAACUAGUCGAUUAGAUGUUCUCAUUUUACAUUGAGGCAGAUUCAUUUUAAAAACGACAUAUCCAACAUAUGUAAAAUGUACAAAGAUAAGUGUCCUCUUCUUGGGAUGUUACAUAUAAUCCUAACCAACACUCUAGUAAAUUGUCACUAAUAUUACUUUGUAUAUUUUGUUUUGUAUGAAGUGCACUGUAAGGUAAAUGUGCUGUUAUUAUUAAUUGUUAUUUAGUAGUGACACAAAAUGAUGUUUGCUUUGGAUUUUUUUUAAUUGCUGUCAUAUACAGUUUUUUAAGUUAUAAGACAUUUUACUUCUUUGGCUGAAUGCAGUAAAAUUGCAUUAUUAUUUUAUUACAUUUGAUUCCUAAAAAUAUUCAGAUUUUAUCUUGAGAUGAGCUUCAAACCAAAGAGCCAUAAAGGCCUGGGAGAUGAGGAGAGGAUGACGAGGAUGACGAGGAUUUGCCAGCGAUGGGGUUUGGCCGUCAAAUGCAGGAAAUCCACAAUCAGAAGAAGUGGCAUGCUCUCUAUCAGAAGCUAAGGCUUACCCAGUGUUUUAGUCUCCUGUGUGUGUAGUGAGGCAUAUGAAAAAGGGGAGACAUGAUUAAUUGUCAUUUAUGAGAUGAUGUACUGUUUCAGAUUGAAAAAUGCCCCAUCCAAUCACGAGGACAGACCACCUUUUUUGGAGUGUCUGCAAGCUGCGAUUGUAGCUUUCAUGCUGCCAAGCCUCCUCCUCCUGUGGCCCCACAAUCAGUGGCUUCAGAAUCCACCUCUUAUGCUCCACAGUCUUUCCUGAGUUCAUUAAAUCACACUUUGGUGGGUCUCAUACGGAUUCAUUGAAGCCCAACUUGGUUGCUCGCAUACCACCGUGCCCCUCUCUGCCCUCUGUGAGGACCCCUAGCCUGACACCUUCC